rnacentral:misc_RNA from 1 species
GAUGAAGAACGUAGCGAAAUGCGAUAAGUAAUGUGAAUUGCAGAAUUCAGUGAAUCAUCGAAUCUUUGAACGCACAUUGCGCCCACCAGUAUUCUGGCGGGCAUGCCUGUUCGAGCGUCAUUUCAACCAUCAAGCCCCCGGCUUGUGUUGGGGACCUGCGGCUGCCGCAGGCCCUGAAAACCAGUGGCGGGCUCGCUAGUCACUCCGAGCGUAGUAAUACAUCUCGCUCAGGGCGUGCUGCGGGUUCCGGCCGUUAAAAAGCCUUAUUUACCCAAGGUUGACCUCGGAUCAGGUAGGAAGACCCGCUGAACUUAAGCAUAUCAAUAAGCGGGAGGA